rnacentral:rRNA from 1 species
AUUGAACGCUGGCGGCAUGCUUUACACAUGCAAGUCGAACGGUAACAGGCCUUCGGGUGCUGACGAGUGGCGAACGGGUGAGUAAUGCAUCGGAACGUACCCAGAGGUGGGGAUAACGCAGCGAAAGCUGUGCUAAUACCGCAUGUGAUCUGAGGAUGAAAGCGGGGGACCGAGCAGCAAUGUUUGGCCUCGCGCCUUUGGAGCGGCCGAUGUCGGAUUAGCUAGUUGGUGGGGUAAAGGCCUACCAAGGCGACGAUCCGUAGCUGGUCUGAGAGGACGACCAGCCACACUGGGACUGAGACACGGCCCAGACUCCUACGGGAGGCAGCAGUGGGGAAUUUUGGACAAUGGGCGCAAGCCUGAUCCAGCAAUGCCGCGUGCGGGAAGAAGGCCUUCGGGUUGUAAACCGCUUUUGGCAGGAACGAAACGGUGUCCGCUAAUACCGGGCGCUAAUGACGGUACCUGCAGAAUAAGCACCGGCUAACUACGUG